rnacentral:rRNA from 1 species
AGUGAACGCUGGCGGCGUGCUUAACACAUGCAAGUCGAACGGAUCAAAGUAGCUUGCUAUUUUGGUUAGUGGCGCACGGGUGAGUAAUGUAUAGCUAACCUGCCCUUUAGUGGGGGACAACAGUUGGAAACGACUGCUAAUACCCCAUACUCCUUCUUGCCAAAAGGUGAGUCGGGAAAGAUUUAUUGCUAAAGGAUGGGGCUUUAUGGUAUCAGCUAGUUGGUGAGGUAAUGGCUCACCAAGGCUAUGACGCCUACCUGGUCUGAGAGGAUGAUCAGGCACACUGGAACUGAGACACGGUCCAGACUCCUACGGGAGGCAGCAGUGGGGAAUAUUGCACAAUGGAGGAAACUCUGAUGCAGCAACGCCGCGUGGAGGAUGACGCAUUUCGGUAUGUAAACUCCUUUUAUAAGGGAAGAUAAUGACGGUACCUUAUGAAUAAGCACCGGCUAACUCCGUGCCAGCAGCCGCAGUAA